rnacentral:miRNA from 2 species
UAAAGCUAGGUUACCAAAGACA